rnacentral:rRNA from 1 species
AGUUCGGAUUGUAGUCUGCAACCCGACUACAUGAAGCUGGAAUCGCUAGUAAUCGCGAAUCAGCAUGUCGCGGUGAAUACGUUCCCGGGUCUUGUACACACCGCCCGUCACACCAUGGGAGUUGGUAACGCCCGAAGUCAGUGACCUAACCGCAAGGGAGGAGCUGCCGAAGGUGGGGCCAGUAACUGGGGUGAAGUCGUAACAAGGUAGC